AACGAACGCUGGCGGCAGGCCUAACACAUGCAAGUCGAGCGAAGCCUUCGGGCUUAGCGGCGGACGGGUGAGUAACGCGUGGGAACGUGCCCUUUGGUACGGAAUAGCCCCGGGAAACUGGGAGUAAUACCGUAUGUGGUCGAGAGACGAAAGAUUUAUCGCCAAAGGAUCGGCCCGCGUUGGAUUAGGUAGUUGGUGGGGUAAUGGCCUACCGAGCCGACGAUCCAUAGCUGGUUUGAGAGGAUGAUCAGCCACACUGGGACUGAGACACGGCCCAGACUCCUACGGGAGGCAGCAGUGGGGAAUCUUAGACAAUGGGGGAAACCCUGAUCUAGCCAUGCCGCGUGAUCGAUGAAGGCCUUAGGGUUGUAUAGAUCUUUCAGUGGGGAAGAUAAUGACUGUACCCACAGAAGAAGCCCCGGCUAACUCCGUGCCAGCCGCCGCGGUAAAAC
rnacentral:rRNA from 1 species